UGCUCCUUGUGGCCAUGAUGCCGGCGAGAAGAUUUCCUCUUCAGCGCCGGCUGUCGCGGAGCGGGCUGACAUCGGCAUUCCACGUGAUCCAUCACGGACACCACGGCUUUAGCGUAUCUGGUGUGGGUGACAACAGGGACGCACUGAAGGCUUUUGGUGUUACAGCAACCGGAGCAGCGCUGCACCUCCACACAUGGUGGCCAUAGCAGGAAGUUAGCAUUGCUUCGGUCCAACAUUGCCCUGGUGACCUCCACCACCUCCGUGCGAACUUUACACACGGCCUGCUGGGCUGGCUGAGCAACUGGAGGAGGAAAAGACAAAUUAAAAAGGUUAAUGGGAAUGAUUUUCAGCAUGUCACCAAGCCCAUACUUGUCACAUAAAUCAAGGCCCGGAGAGACAACCGAAUGAAGAUAAAGUACAUCUUCAUUCACCAAGAAAAUCAGGAAUCUUCCAUGCCGGCACUCGGAGCAACUGCAUUCAUCAUGACGUGCACUUACAUACAUAAUUCGACAUGUAUUUUCUUGUCUUCUAUUUGACAGGUUUGGAUAUGAGAAAGGUCUUUGGGUGUAAUAUAUUCCUUUGGACCAGUUAAAUUCAAACAAGCAGGUCUUUACCUACGGAAUCAGUCAGCAGAAGCAGCUGGAGGUCGUCGAUGGAGGAGAUGGGACUAUUUCUAACCAGCUCCAGCAGGGCCGCAGGAAGUGGAUCCCCCUGAACGACAUCAAAUAAAAUGAGAUUCAUCCUUGUUUAGUCAGUAUUUAACUAAAUGGGUCAAAGGAGCCAGGAAGGAGCCAGGAAGUGGGGGAAGGAGUGAUACAGAGAGGAGAAGAGAAGGGAGGCAGGCAUGUCAAAAAGGAGAUGAAGAAAAGAAUGGACAAGGAUCAGACGUGGGGUCGGGACACUUGCUCGCUGGCGUCGGUUCAAAUGCGAGGAGGAGCUUCAUGUUACUCGAAAGUGCAUUAGACGUCAUGAAUUAAGUCAUGUUGCACUCAUUUAUGGAAAAUAGAACAUCCGAAAUCUGGAGAAUUUAAUGAAGCUCUUUAGGAAGCCAAAGCCAGCCAUCCAUGCAUGAGCGGGCGCGUACUUCACGACGCCGUUUCCUGCAUUGUUGCUUGCCCCCUUUUCAGAGAGUCCAAGCGGGGAAAUGCCUGCUGUAAUUCUGCUCGCAUCUCUGUUGUCGAGCUGCAGAUGCCCCAGAGGAGUCAUCAUUAUUUCCUUUCCUCGCCAGCAGAGCCAACCUGCUUGCUUGGAUAAUUGUGUUUGAUGUUAAUUAUAGGACCUGGGCCUUUUUUCACAGCCCUGCCUGCCUUCUGUCAAGGUUUAGAAAUUUAUUAUCUCUAAACAAACCUAGAAAAAUUGUGCUACUGAAUUAAUUGCGUGUCACAAAUACAUUGACAAUUUUGACCUAUGUGACUUGAAAUUUUAAUUUGAUGGCUUUUUUUUAUGGAAUAUAAAACAUGUAAUAAUAAUUCCUUCUGUUUCUAUACACUCUUUUUCAGCAUUUAUGCAAUCAUUUUCCAGCUUGUGACAUAUUUGAAAUUGAUUGUAUUUUCAGAGCCCUAAUCUGGUAGCCGUCGAGUGGAUGUAUUGAGGAAUGCCAGUUGGAUUCCCAGCCACCCGCCAUGGCGGGUCCCAUGCCCGGAAAGACAUCCGGCGUAGAAACGGUGCCAACCAAAUCAAGGCUGUGAGGCAACCUUACAAAAUACCAAAGGUGGGAGUAAGGCACAUAUGUGCAAGUCAUAAGGAAGUCUCAAGUCUUGACCUUCAACUUUCAAGCGAGUCCAAAAAAACAAAGGAAGGCGAUUUGAGUCGCCAGUAAAAUUUCAAGUCAUCACUUUGCUUCCUCUGCUCUUAACGUUGUACAUCAAGUCAAAUUUAGUUCAUUUCAACCAGCUGCACUGUGAAAUGUUUGUAUAUUUUUCU